GUGCCAGCAGCCGCGGUAAUACCGGUGGCUCGAGUGGUGGCCGCUAUUAUUGGGUCUAAAGGGUCCGUAGCCGGCCUGAUAAGUACCUGGGAAAUCCGGUGGCCUAACCAUCGGGCGGCCAGGUAAUACUAUCAGGCUCGGGACUAGGAGAGACCAGAGGUACUCAUGAGGUAGGAGUGAAAUCCUGUAAUCUUAUGAGGACCACCAGUGGUGAAGACGUCUGGUUAGAAUAGGUCCGACGGUGAGGGACGAAGGCUGGGGGCGCAAACCGGAUUAGAUACCCGGGUAGUCCCAGCAGUAAACGAUGCCAGCUAUGUGUUGCUGGAACCAUGGGUUCCAGCAGUGCCGAAGGGAAGCCGUGAAGCUGGCCACCUGGGAAGUACGGUCGCAAGGCUGAAACUUAAAGGAAUUGGCGGGGGAGUACCACAACCGGUGGAGCCUGCGGUUUAAUUGGAUACAACGCCGGGAAUCUUACCGGAGGGGACAGCAGUAUGAAGGCCAGGCUAAAGACCUUGCCAGAUCAGCUGAGAGGAGGUGCAUGGCCGUCGCCAGUUCGUACCGUGAGGCAUCCUGUUUAGUCAGGCAACGAUCGAGACCCGCAGUCUUAUUUGCCAGCAUGCCCUUUGGGGUGUAUGGGUACAAUAAGACGACCGCCAGCGCUAAGCUGGAGGAAGGAGCGGGCUACGGUAAAGUCAGCAUGCCCCGAAAUCCUCCGGGGAUACACGCGGGCUACAAUGGUCAG
rnacentral:rRNA from 1 species